AUUAGCCCAGUUGGUAGAGCACUCCACUGGAAAUGGAGAAGUCCCUGGUUCAAUACCUGCAU
rnacentral:tRNA from 1 species